GGCACUUGUGUGAUCUGCGGUAAUGGUGAGGAGGACGAAUUUCAUGCAGUGGUUGCUUGCUCAAAGAGCAGAGCGCUGAGACAUGCACUGAGAGACAUAUGGGGGUUGCCUCAUGAAAGGGAGUUCAGGUUUACUGGGCGUGAUUGGCUGCAGGUUCUACUGGACUCAGUCCCAAAGGAUUUACGUGCAAAGAUUCUGCUCUUGCUAUGGAGAUGCUGGCACUUGAGGGAUGACUGCAUCCAUGGUUCAGGCAAGGAAUCGAUAUCAGGUUCGAUACUUUUCCUGCAGAGAUGUGCACCGCGGCCCAGUGGAGCUGGAAUCAGACUGUAA
rnacentral:rRNA from 1 species